UACGAGAGGCCCAAACGUUAUUCGGAAUUACUGGGCUUAAAGAGUUCGUAGGCGGCGCAGAAAGUAGGGUGUGAAAGCCCUCGGCUCAACCGAGGAAUUGCGCUCUAAACUACUGUGCUUGAGGAAGCUAGAGGUGAGCGGAACUGAUGGUGGAGCGGUGAAAUGCGUUGAUAUCAUCAGGAACACCGGAGGCGAAGGCGGCUCACUGGGGCUUUUCUGACGCUGAGGAACGAAAGCCAGGGGAGCGAACAGG
rnacentral:rRNA from 1 species